GAUGAACGCUGGCGGCGUGCCUAAUACAUGCAAGUCGAGCGAACAGACGAGGAGCUUGCUCCUCUGACGUUAGCGGCGGACGGGUGAGUAACACGUGGAUAACCUACCUAUAAGACUGGGAUAACUUCGGGAAACCGGAGCUAAUACCGGAUAAUAUAUUGAACCGCAUGGUUCAAUGGUGAAAGACGGUUUUGCUGUCACUUAUAGAUGGAUCCGCGCCGCAUUAGCUAGUUGGUAAGGUAACGGCUUACCAAGGCGACGAUGCGUAGCCGACCUGAGAGGGUGAUCGGCCACACUGGAACUGAGACACGGUCCAGACUCCUACGGGAGGCAGCAGUAGGGAAUCUUCCGCAAAGGGCGAAAGCCUGACGGAGCAACGCCGCGUGAGUGAUGAAGGUCUUCGGAUCGUAAAACUCUGUUAUUAGGGAAGAACAAAUGUGUAAGUAACUAUGCACGUCUUGACGGUACCUAAUCAGAAAGCCACGGCUAACUACGUG
rnacentral:rRNA from 1 species